rnacentral:piRNA from 1 species
GAUCCUCAGAUCUAGUCAGUUCUGG